UAGUGUUUAUCAUUACUGUCAAAAAGCGCUUUUGAGAAGAUAAAAUGUCAAUUUUAAACAUGAUGUUAUAAUUGAAAGAUUUAAUGGGAGAUAAAAAAAAAGUAACUUCAUUGAAAAAUACUUUUCCAAAAGCCGAAGGUUAAAAAUUUUGGCUUUUUGGCUUGGGUUAGAAUCACAAUUUAAAAUCAUGGUUUGGUUUGAAGAGCUCUUUGUUUACCAAAUUUUUUGUUUACUAUUAAGGCUUGAAAGCAGUAAACAACAAAAAUUUGGUAAGCAAGCGGGGGUUUAAACCGAACAUGAUUUGGAGAGGGGGGAUUUUAACCAAGCUAAAAAUUUUGGAAAAGUAUUUUUCAACAAAGUUACUUUUUUCAUCUCCCAUUAAAUCUUUCACUUUAUGGCAUCAUGUCUAAAAUUGACAUUUUAUAUUUUCAAAAGCACUUUUUGACAGCAAUGGUAAACAUU
rnacentral:pre_miRNA from 1 species